rnacentral:lncRNA from 1 species
ACCUUUCGCGUACUUCACAUCAAUCAAUCCACUCUCGAAAUAAGUCUUUCCCGUCUUGAUCAUGUUCCUAAUGAAAUUUGUCCAGAAGAAUUCAAUGAUUCCAAGUUGAAUGAAACCCUAUUUUAUAUCAACCCAAAUAGUACUGAAGUUCUCCACUUAUUCUCCAAUUGCCCUUUGGGAAUAAAAUUACCUGGCCCGGGGGUUCCCUCGUUUAGGAAUAGUUCGACUUGUAAGAUAGAG